UACGGAGGGUGCGAGCGUUGUCCGGAAUCACUGGGCGUAAAGGGCGCGUAGGCGGCGCGAGCAGUCGGCGGGUGAAAGCCCGGAGCUCAACUCCGGGUCGGCCGUCGAUACUCUCGUGCUUGAGCACUGUAGAGGCAGGUGGAAUUCCGGGUGUAGCGGUGGAAUGCGUAGAGAUCCGGAAGAACACCGGUGGCGAAGGCGGCCUGCUGGGCAGUAGCUGACGCUGAUGCGC
rnacentral:rRNA from 1 species